GACGAACGCUGGCGGCGUGCUUAACACAUGCAAGUCGAACGAUGAAGAAAAGAAUCGAAGCUUCGGCAGAAAUUCAUUUCGGAUUAGUGGCAGACGGGUGAGUAACGCGUGAGCAACCUACCUCUUACAAAGGGAUAGCCUCGGGAAACCGGGAUUAAUACCAUAUAACAUUGUGACGAAGCAUUUCGAUGCAAUCAAAGCUACGGCGGUAAGAGAUGGGCUCGCGUCCCAUUAACCGGAUGGUGAGGUAACGGCUCACCAUAGUGACGAUGGGUAACCGGCCUGAGAGGGUGAACGGUCACACUGGAACUGAGACACGGUCCAGACUCCUACGGGAGGCAGCAGUGGGGAAUAGUGCACAAUGGAGGGAACUCUGAUGCAGCGACGCCGCGUGAGUGAUGAAGGAAUUCGUUUCGUAAAACUCUGUUCUAUGGGAAGAAAAGGACUGUACCAUAGGAGAAAGCUCCGGCUAAAUACGU
rnacentral:rRNA from 1 species